rnacentral:lncRNA from 1 species
UUUUUUUUCCCUUGGAACUGUAGAAAAGCUUGUGAUGGCAUCUUCAGUACAGAUUCCGUGACUCUGAGCAACACAAGCAGCAUCUGUUCCCUUAAAAUAAAAAGACUGAUUAAUGUUUCCUUCUUGCAUAUGUUUGCAUUUGGUUAAUAGUUAACUUUCAAAUACAUACUUCUUAUAAAAAUUCAAAUAUUAAACAUCUUUGAAAGACAAUUUCAAAUGUUUAGAGUUCCUUAAAUAUUAAAAAUUAAAAUUACAUUUUAUGUAUCUACAUCAAUCAUUUAAAAUCAUUUAUCGGCCACAAUAUCCUCUCAUCAAAUAAAAACCUAUUCAAAAGCUGAGGAACUGGAAGUGAUAAUGUGGAGAAUGCUCCCGUCUCCGCAACCACAAAUUAAGUAGUGACCUUAAGGAGCUAUCUGAAGAACACUCAUCUACACAAUAUAGUUCUACCCAGAUGGAAUCCAAUCAAAUCCAUCUUUAUAAUAUGGAGAAUAACUAUAUCAAAUCAAUCAAAUCCAUCUUUAUAAUAUGUUGAGUAACUACAUAUUGAGAAUCAUACCAAUCUCAAUUUCAGAAAUUAUAUGACAUC